rnacentral:siRNA from 1 species
AUCAUCCCGACCAUUUCCAUUUGC